GCGACCGCGCAAAGACGACGAAACACACACAAGUUGGCC
rnacentral:rRNA from 1 species